rnacentral:rRNA from 1 species
AGGCAGCAGUGGGGAAUAUUGCACAAUGGGCGCAAGCCUGAUGCAGCCAUGCCGCGUGUAUGAAGAAGGCCUUCGGGUUGUAAAGUACUUUCAGCAGUGAGGAAGGUGGGUAUGUUAAUAGCAUACUCAUUUGACGUUAGCUGCAGAAGAAGCACCGGCUAACUCCGUGCCAGCAGCCGCGGUAAUACGGAGGGUGCGAGCGUUAAUCGGAAUUACUGGGCGUAAAGCGCAUGCAGGUGGUUUGUUAAGUUCAGAUGUGAAAGCCCGGGGCUCAACCUCGGAAUUGCAUUUGAAACUGGCAAACUAGAGUACUGUAGAGGGGGUAGAAUUUCAGGUGUAGCGGUGAAAUGCGUAGAGAUCUGAAGGAAUACCGGUGGCGAAGGCGGCCCCCUCGGACAGAUACUGACACUCAGAUGCGAAAGCGUGGGGAGCAAACAGGAUUAGAUACCCUGGUAG